CUAGCUCUUGAAUUAUUAAUCAUUUGUCUAAUGCUGAGCUGGCUCUGUUAAUGAGCACAGAUUUUUCUGAUGCUAAUGCCCAGAUCAAAGCCUUACAGCACCGUUAAUGAUCUAGCAAUGUGUCCAUUCUCUGUAACCCUCACGCUACUGGCCGGAGCGGUACGCUGCCACCUCUCGGUGCUCACGUCAAGCUCCCUUGCUUGAGAGAAAGCCCAGAUGGGUACGUCGUCAAUUAUACAUGGGCCAGUGGUUAAUAACUUAAUGGCUAGAUCAAUACCUCCAUGCAGUAUUAAUCUUGUCCGUGAUUAUGACUAACGAUGAAAACGACUCUUGAUACAUCGUUAAUUGAGUCUGAUGCCUGCAUCAACACGUUCGUUAUCUAAUCAGUCAUAAUUAUUUAUCAUUAAUGUAUUGAUCUAGAUAGUAGAAUAAUCGUUAUAUAUAAAUAUUUAUUCCCAUGCUGAGAGCAAUAUAUUUAUUAUCUGCAAUGAGCAACCUCGUGGCACCUUAGAGACUAACAAAUUUAGAUUGGAUCGUGAGCUCAUGAUGUAUUAGUCUCUAACGUGCCCCAGGGCGACUGGUUGUUUUUAAAGUUACAGACUAACUUGGCUCCCCCUCUGAGAUUAAUAAUCAAGCUUAGUGACUAGAUAAUUAAUCAUGAUUAAUAUUGAUCUCGGCAUUAGAAUAAUUAUUGCUUAUCUCAUGGAUUAGUCAUCUGAGUAAUAGAUAUUAAUGGAUAGCUCUAAUAAUUAGAAUAAUAGUUCAUUAAAAUACUGCAUAUGUGGUCACUCAAUACAUUAUAUAUAUCAGAGUAAUAAUUCUUAAUGUAUGCUCUAAUUAUUGCAGCACUAAUUAGUGUGAUGUAUUUAGUUAUUCGUCAUAAUUAUGAAUAAAUACAUCACAUUAAUUUAAUGACUGGGGGAGCUAAUUGCUAGAUAUAUGGUGCUGAUGACUAUUAAUAGAUAAUUAAUACACUAUUAAUCACCCCUAGAUCAAUACAUUAUUAAUCUAAUGACUGGAUCAAUACUCAAUAGAUUGCAACUCUCUCCGCGGUAGGGAAACGUCAGCAACGCAUCUCAGGAAGUCCACGAUGUGGGUCGGGGUCCCGAGGGGUUUAGGGACCUCGUUGCCACAUUAGGUGCCAAAAUCCCAGCGCCAGACUGGACUGCGAUUGGCGAACCGUGAACCGUGCAGCUGUCCCCCUUCAGCAUCCGGAUGCGGAAAUCCCAGAGCGAAGCGAUCAGGUGGCGACGGCUGACUUCACAUAGCGCGGCCCCCCCCCUUAGAGGGACCCUCAGUUCAAUCCCUCUCCUCUCCCACCUGAAAAGAAGGGCUUCGAAGAGGGAAUCUCAGGACAGGUUGAACCUUCGGGACACGACCGGUGCCGAACCAGAGAAUUUGCUGAUAUUGUCCAGCAGCAUCACCUACACUGCCGCUGGGCUCUGAGAAGACAUUUCGGGGGGCUGCAUUCCCGGGCGCAUGACUCCAGCCACAACAGGUUCGGCAUUUUAGAACUCGCUACUCAAAGAAUUAAAAUGAAGAGUAAGAGCGAAAUGAAAGUGAUGAAAUGCACAGACCCGUCAAAAACUAAAACCACCCCACUUUGCAACACUUGCUCGGCAGAGCCAACCUGUGGAACUCCUUGCUGCAGGAUACUGUGAAGGCCAAGAGAGUUCAAAAAAAGAGCUAGAUACAUUCAUGGAGGCAUGAAAUCCCCGUUGCCAGUCUAACCUGGCGUGAGUGGCCGAGACCCAGGGAGGGAGCACGAUGAGACCCAUAAUCCUUUGCAGCUUCCUCUUGGCGUCUGUCCAGGCAUCGGAACCGGAGGGGCACUUUGAUCUAGGUAUCUCAGGGCGAGACCAGCCAUGUGGGGGCAUCCGGGCUUA